rnacentral:rRNA from 1 species
GACGAACGCUGGCGGCGUGCUUAACACAUGCAAGUCGUACGGUAAGGCCCUUUCGGGGGUACACGAGUGGCGAACGGGUGAGUAACACGUGAGUAACCUGCCCACAACUUUGGGAUAACGCUAGGAAACUGGUGCUAAUACUGGAUAUGUGCUCCUGCUGCAUGGUGGGGGUUGGAAAGCUCCGGCGGUUGUGGAUGGACUCGCGGCCUAUCAGCUUGUUGGUGGGGUAGUGGCCUACCAAGGCGGCGACGGGUAGCCGGCCUGAGAGGGUGACCGGCCACAUUGGGACUGAGAUACGGCCCAGACUCCUACGGGAGGCAGCAGUGGGGAAUAUUGCACAAUGGGCGCAAGCCUGAUGCAGCAACACCGCGUGCGGGAGGACGGCCUUCGGGUUGUAAACCGCUUUCAGCAGGGACGAAGCUUUUUGUGACGGUACCUGCAGAAGAAGCACCGGCUAACUACGUG